rnacentral:rRNA from 1 species
UACGGAGGGUGCAAGCGUUAAUCGGAAUUACUGGGCGUAAAGCGCACGCAGGUGGCUGAGUCAGUCGAUUGUGAAAGCCCUGGGCUUAACCUGGGAAUUGCAGUCGAUACUACUCAGCUAGAGUAUGGGAGAGGGUAGUGGAAUUCCCGGUGUAGCGGUGAAAUGCGUAGAUAUCUGGAGGAACACCGGUGGCGAAGGCGGCAUCCUGGACCGGCAUUGACGCUGAGGCGCGAAAGCUAGGGGAGCAAACGGG